GCCUAAUACAUGCAAGUCGAGCGAACGGACGAGAAGCUUGCUUCUCUGAUGUUAGCGGCGGACGGGUGAGUAACACGUGGAUAACCUACCUAUAAGACUGGGAUAACUUCGGGAAACCGGAGCUAAUACCGGAUAAUAUUUUGAACCGCAUGGUUCAAAAGUGAAAGACGGUCUUGCUGUCACUUAUAGAUGGAUCCGCGCUGCAUUAGCUAGUUGGUAAGGUAACGGCUUACCAAGGCAACGAUGCAUAGCCGACCUGAGAGGGUGAUCGGCCACACUGGAACUGAGACACGGUCCAGACUCCUACGGGAGGCAGCAGUAGGGAAUCUUCCGCAAUGGGCGAAAGCCUGACGGAGCAACGCCGCGUGAGUGAUGAAGGUCUUCGGAUCGUAAAACUCUGUUAUUAGGGAAGAACAUAUGUGUAAGUAACUGUGCACAUCUUGACGGUACCUAAUCAGAAAGCCACGGCUAACUACGUGCCAGCAGCCGCGGUAAUACGUAGGUGGCAAGCGUUAUCCGGAAUUAUUGGGCGUAAAGCGCGCGUAGGCGGUUUUUUAAGUCUGAUGUGAAAGCCCACGGCUCAACCGUGGAGGGUCAUUGGAAACUGGAAAACUUGAGUGCAGAAGAGGAAAGUGGAAUUCCAUGUGUAGCGGUGAAAUGCGCAGAGAUAUGGAGGAACACCAGUGGCGAAGGCGACUUUCUGGUCUGUAACUGACGCUGAUGUGCGAAAGCGUGGGGAUCAAACAGGAUUAGAUACCCUGGUAGUCCACGCCGUAAACGAUGAGUGCUAAGUGUUAGGGGGUUUCCGCCCCUUAGUGCUGCAGCUAACGCAUUAAGCACUCCGCCUGGGGAGUACGACCGCAAGGUUGAAACUCAAAGGAAUUGACGGGGACCCGCACAAGCGGUGGAGCAUGUGGUUUAAUUCGAAGCAACGCGAAGAACCUUACCAAAUCUUGACAUCCUUUGACAACUCUAGAGAUAGAGCUUUCCCCUUCGGGGGACAAAGUGACAGGUGGUGCAUGGUUGUCGUCAGCUCGUGUCGUGAGAUGUUGGGUUAAGUCCCGCAACGAGCGCAACCCUUAAGCUUAGUUGCCAUCAUUAAGUUGGGCACUCUAAGUUGACUGCCGGUGACAAACCGGAGGAAGGUGGGGAUGACGUCAAAUCAUCAUGCCCCUUAUGAUUUGGGCUACACACGUGCUACAAUGGACAAUACAAAGGGCAGCGAAACCGCGAGGUCAAGCAAAUCCCAUAAAGUUGUUCUCAGUUCGGAUUGUAGUCUGCAACUCGACUACAUGAAGCUGGAAUCGCUAGUAAUCGUAGAUCAGCAUGCUACGGUGAAUACGUUCCCGGGUCUUGUACACACCGCCCGUCACACCACGAGAGUUUGUAACACCCGAAGCCGGUGGAGUAACCUUUUAGGAGCUAGCCGUCGAAGGU
rnacentral:rRNA from 1 species